CGACACUUGUGAUAUGUCUUGUACAAAUCCACUAUUCUGAUCGCUUCGCGACCUUUCAUUUCUCGUACUACCGGCUCCACGUCGCGGUUCGCUUCCUCUUCCGGUAUAAACGAAUUCGAUUCUCCGUUCGACGAAGGGGUGAAGCAGAACCACGCUGGCCUUUUGAUUCCGUACUCACUCGGUACGACCGAGUCGAGAUAAUAAGCCAUUAAAGCGUACAGAAAUAUAUCAAGAGUCAUCAUGAUGAGGCUCCCACCGAAAGGCAUUCCUGGACCGGACCAAAGAUUGUCAAAGUUGACGCCUUCGCCUUGCAGAUCCGCGACCAGAGCCUUUGAGACAAGGGGAAAAAGAAUUGCUGCACUUUUACGAAUCACAGAGCAAUCGAGAAAAUUAAAUAAGAAUAAGAAUUUUAAUACUUGAAUUUAAAAAUUUGAGACUUCAAGCAAAAUAUCUUUUCCAGGUAGCUCCGGGCGAGCAGCUUUUCCCGUACCUUGUCCAUAGCGAGGGCGACUCCAGUCGGGCUCAAGAGCGAGACGACCCAGAAGGAAAUGGAGCUCGAAUCGUCGACGAAGACGUGAAUGAAGUACAUGAGGCUGAGUAUCGUGACUGCAAAAUUUCCGAGAACCCCGGCAGUCUAUAAAGGAGCGGUUAAAGGAGCUUAAUUAAUGAGCCGAUAAAUACUCGCAGCGAAAAUAACGAAAUCGAUGCAGCGAUUAUUAUUUAUGGGACAUUCCGAUUCUAUAUUGGAAAAAAAAAGCUGUAGAGCACCACGAGCAAGAAGAUUGGCAAAAAAUGAGUAUGCUGGAACAUCUGGAGGGUGAAGAGCAAAAUAACUGCUACAGCCGAGAGCAGAAAUACGAAGAUCGCGUAGAUGAUGAACCAGGACAACCUGAAGUCAAAUUCAGUCCCACGAGAAUCAAACGAUUGGAACUUUUAUUUUCCAUCCCCUUCUCGUUACUUUCAUUCGAGCAAAAACGUUUCGUUUACCAAAAAACUGAA